AACGCACAUUGCGCCCUUUGGUAUUCCAAAGGGCAUGCCUGUUCGAGCGUCAUUUGUACCCUCAAGCUUUGCUUGGUGUUGGGCGUCUUGUCUCUCUCCCGAGACUCGCCUUAAAAUCAUUGGCAGCCGGCCUACUGGUUUCGGAGCGCAGCACAUUAUUUGCGCUCUUGUCCAGCCGCGGUCGCGCGUCCAUGAAGCUUCUUUCAACCUUUUGACCUCGGAUCAGGUAGGGAUACCCGCUGAACUUAA
rnacentral:misc_RNA from 2 species